rnacentral:rRNA from 1 species
AUGGAUCCUCUGGCCACCCUCCCCGACGACCUAAUUUUCAUGGAAAUCUUGGUGCGACUGCCCGUCAAAUGCCUUGCGCGCUGCAAAUUCGUCAGCCCCAACUGGCGCGCCCGCAUAGAGGGCGCCGACUUCGUCAGCCACCACCGCAAGCGCUCCAGCGCGAGUCGGCCGUCCAUUCUUGUCAUCCCCCGCAAGCAUGGCAUCGAAGACGAAGAAGAGUUCUCCGACGACAUCAGCUUCUACCGCCUCGGGCCGGGACAGGCGCCCGACACCUUCGAAGACGAGGCAGAGCUGAUGCUGCAGAAGGCGUACCCACCCGAAGCGGAAGGCAUCACGAACGUGAUCUACCCCAUGCACUGCGACGGCCUGGUCGCCAUCGCGACCGGCACGGACCAGGUAUUCCUGUGCAACCCAGCGACCAAGGAGUUCGUCGAGCUGCCGCUCGGCACCCCGGACGUCGACAUCCACCGCAUGAGGCCUCCAUCGGCAGCCAUCGGCUUCGACCAGUGGAAGAACCAGUACGUCGUCGCCAGGUACUUCUACCGGCGCCGGUGCUACAAGAAGCCCAGCGGCAAGCUUGACUACGACAUCGGGCACGAGGUAUUCACGCUCGGGAAUAACUCCUGCUCCUGGGAAGCCACCGCCGACCCUCCUCACGCUAUCGGUGACACGCCACCGGUGUGCACGCGAGAUGCCAUCUACUGGGGGUGCGACGGCAUGGAAGACCCCCGGCCGAGCUCGCUGAUGCGGUUUAGCCUGCGCUACAGGACGUUCGACUUGGUGCCAUGCCCUCCUCGUUUCGCCUACAACUCCGGCAUCGAGCAUCUGGCAGAUCUGGGCGGCAAGCUGUGCCACGUCAACCUUGCGACCUCGAAGACGGCCUUUGACGUGUGGCAGCUGGCGGACGACGGGACACUGUGGUUGCCGCGCUGCCGGAUUGAUUCAGAGGUUGUACUGGUGCGAUGA